CCUACGGGUGGCAGCAGUAGGGAAUUUUGCGCAAUGGGCGAAAGCCUGACGCAGCAACGCCGCGUGAUUGAUUAAGCCCUUCCGGGUUUAAAGCUCCUUCAGUGGGGACGUAACUUGAGGGUACCCACAGAGGAAGCACCGGCUAACUCCGUGCCAGCAGCCGCGGUAAUACGGAGGGUGCAAGCGUUGUCCGGAAUCAUUGGGCGUAAAGAGUUCGUAGGUGGCAUAUUAAGUCUGGUGGUAAAUGCAGAGGCUCAACUUCUGUUCGGCACUGGAUACUGGUAGGCUUGAUUGCGGUAGAGGUAAAGGGAAUGCCUGGUGUAGCGGUGAAAUGCGUAGAUAUCAGGAAGAACAUCGAUGGCGAAGGC
rnacentral:rRNA from 1 species